UGGAGGAGACAGCCUGAAACCGCAGCAGCUGUGAAACGCGAAGAGCAGCUGCCGGUCUUCCAGCUGGGAGAGGUGCUGCCCACUUCUCUUUGGAUAUGAAUCUGCAGGAAGCUCAAGUUUUCUUGGGGAAGGAUUAGAACGACUUCCCCAGAGCACAGCCCGCAGCAGGGAACUGGCCAACAUCACCACCAGGAAUCGCUUUUCUGUUAGGUCAAAGAGCAGAGUGGCCUUUCCAGAGCUCUUCCUGCACGUCUCUCAUGUGAAGAUCAAGGGAAGCAGCCUGGGAGACUGCAGGCUGGGGAUGCAUGAGGCUGUCCCAGGAAGCUUGAAGGAUAAAGAUUGACACAAAGACUCAGCAUUGAGGGGGGACACAACACAGAACACAUGUCUGAGUUUCCACGCCAUCUACUGCUAUGAAGUGGUGAUAUAGAAGAAGCUGUAACUUCAGCCAGAAAUCAAAAUCUAAUGUGUGAGAGUUCAAAGUUAUUCCCGCUACGCAGGUCAUGAUUUUUAAUAUGUGUUUUGCUCCCUACAAUCAUUUUAAGGAAGAUUUUCUACCCUCUGCUCUGAACUGUAACGCCCAGAAACAUCCUGACAAGGGGUACAUGUGUCCAUUCUCACAAUUGGCCGUUAACUGAGCAGUAAAACAGACUGGCCCUGUAAUAUGCACUGUUAAUACUUCCCUGUCUAUUAGGUACUGCAGAGAGGUUCCUUUUCCAAUAGCUAUUCCAAGUGGACCUUAUCAAAAGGAUGCUUAUCAGAGACAGUGACUAACUAUAAGGAAAAACCAGUCUCAUGCUGUGGAUCUAAGUGGACUGGAGAUGCCCACCACAGGAAGCACUUACCCCUUUAACAUCAGCAGCCUCUCUGGCUAGCCUGGUGGUCAAUGCGCCAGUGCUAUUUUUAUGAUCAUCAAACCAGCUUAUAUCCUGUAACACAAAAGCAGAACUCCAAGUAUUAAACAGUGAAGAGUAACAUGAUGUUACUAUCGACAUAAAGCCUCAACUCUAGGAAGAGAAGGCACAAGGAAACAAAUUCACACUGUCACAUAGUGAAUAACGCUUGGGACAAAAACAUUUGAAAGAAGGACAAAGAAGAAAGGGACAAGGCACAGAAGGACUGCUGCACAAUAUUACUUGAAGACAUGUUACAUUGGUUUAUACUGAGGAACAUUUGUUUAACGAUGCAAAGACCUGUUGCAUAUUUUUUCUUUCU